UUGCCUAGGCUGGUGUUUGGCCUAUAGGCUGUUUUGCCUAUACUGUGUAUUUUUAUUCCGAUUUUAAGAUUUUAUAAUUGACUGCUCUAACUCUGCAUUUAGUCUGUAUGUGUUUUUAUUUAUUUUUGUUUGGGUUUUGUUAAUUGUUAUUUUGAUUCAGAUAUUUUCUUGGUUUUAUUUUGUUUAAUAUUGUAUUAUUGGGUAAACCUUCCAUGACAACCCUGUUGGUAGCCUGGAUUUUGGCAUAGAGAUUUUUUUUUUAUUAUUCACACUGGCUAGGGUCAACUGGUAUAUCCUGUGAUAUAUAAAGUGUGUUAUUAAUCAUCUGUCUGUUUACUCUGUUAUAGAACUUCAGCACACAUGUUUCUCCUUUGGGCUGACUGGUUAUCCUCUUGGGAGAUUCUGUUUUUCUUCACUUCUCUUACACUGGGGUUGCUGUGAUGGACUCACCUUUAUUUAAGAUUGGAUCAUAAAUGACCACUGAAUUGUAGCUGUUAGGAGGAGGAUAUUGUUAUUGUAGUGAAAGGUAAGUGAGUGGGAGUGUAGACUGUAAAGGAAGGGAAUGGCUUCUGUGUAUAACCCCUGUUGUUGGUGCAGCAUUUAUCAUUGUCUUGUAUUAUGUUUACUUGUAAUGCCCAAUAAUGACACAUUUUCUCAUAAGUGGUUUAUGCAUAAAUGUAUAUUGCAUUACCUUACAUUACAUUACUUUUGUCCAAAGUGACAUACAAUAGUGAAGUACAAAAGUAAUAGAAGUUAAAGGUAAAACAUCUUUACAUAGGGCCUAAAGGAGGUCAAUAGGAAUUAAUGGGAUGGAGGAGUGAAGGAGGGGAAGAAGGAAAUGAGGUUAGAAGUAUGAAGAUGAAGAUGUUAGAAGAUGUUAACAAUUACAAAUAUAUGUACAAUACAUUCAAAGAAAAAAAACAUGAACACUUUACCAAAACUAGUCUUUACCCUCUAGAGAAUAACAGAACAGACUAAUCUGUAUUUAAAAUGCUUGCACUUGAGGACUUUCUAAUUUUUAAAUUGAAAAUAACUGCUUUUCUCAUUGCCUGAUUAAUCUUAUAUGUCUUUUCCGCCCUGGAUUCAGUGCCCUGACUACAGAGCUGAACAGCUAAACUUUGAUAAAUAAAGAAGAGUGACCAAAGUGGAAGGACAGUGGCAAUGAACACAUGUAUUCCAGAAAACAAUGAGCAUACAGAGCACCCAAAAUUCAAGAACUACCAUCCAAACAACAGCAAAACACUCUGUAUUUCAGAGGUUUGCACUUCAGGAAAGUGCCACAGGUGGGUAUCCCUACAUGGAAAAUGUCAAUAGAAACAAGUACAUAGAUCAAACCACCCACAGAGAAGAGCAUCUCACAGAAAGUUAGAUUGAGAUUGAAAAGCUCUGACAAGACUCCACAUGAUUCAUGUUGAUAAUCUGCCUGAUUACUUGUUUUUUUACAUACACAAUUUUCAAAGCUAUUAUUUCCAUUUUAGCAGCCAUAAAAUUUAAAUAAAAUUAGGUUCAUGAAGAAAAAAAAAAGUUUCAGCCUCUGAAAUAUUGAUUUUUUUUUCUCUAACGUUUUAAUGAAUUUGAGGACUGGAAUAUUUGGAAUCUUUCUAAAAACAGCCUUG